rnacentral:piRNA from 1 species
UGUAGAGACCAUGAAACAAGAGGGGGA